GACGAACGCUGGCGGCGUGCUUAACACAUGCAAGUCGAACGGAAAGGCCCUGCUUUUGUGGGGUGCUCGAGUGGCGAACGGGUGAGUAACAAGUGAGUAACCUGCCCUUGACUUUGGGAUAACUUCAGGAAACUGGGGCUAAUACCGGAUAGGAGAUCCUGCUGCAUGGUGGGGGUUGGAAAGUUUCGGCGGUUGGGGAUGGACUCGCGGCUUAUCAGCUUGUCGGUGGGGUAGUGGCUUACCAAGGCCUUGACGGGUAGCCGGCCUGAGAGGGUGAACGGCCACAAUGGGACUGAGAUACGGCGCAGACUGCUACGGGAGGCAGCAGUGGGGAAUAUUGCACAAUGGGCGGAAGCCUGAUACAGCAACGCCGCGUGCGGGAUGACGGCCUUCGGGUUGUAAACCGCUUUCGACUGUGACGAAGCGUGAGUGACGGUAAUGGGUAAAGAAGCACCGGCUAACUACGUG
rnacentral:rRNA from 1 species